rnacentral:rRNA from 1 species
UACGUAGGGGGCAAGCGUUACUCGGAUUUAUUGGGCGUAAAGCGAAUGUAGGCGGUUUUGCAAGUCAGUGGUGAAAUCCCUCAGCUUAACUGAGGAAGUGCCUUUGAAACUGCAUAACUAGAGGACAGGAGAGGAAAGUGGGAUUCCCGGUGUAGCGGUGGAAUGCGUAGAUAUCGGGAGGAACACCAGAGGCGAAGGCGGCUUUCUGGACUGAUCCUGACGCUGAGAUUCGAAAGCUAGGGGAGCAAACAGGAUUAGAUACCCUGGUAGUCCUAGCUGUAAACGAUGGAUACUAGAUCUUGCAUAUUUUGCUUGGUCGAAGUUAACGCGUUAAGUAUCCCGCCUGGGGAGUACGGUCGCAAGGCUGAA